rnacentral:rRNA from 1 species
UACGAAGGGGGCUAGCGUUGCUCGGAAUUACUGGGCGUAAAGCGCACGUAGGCGGCUUCUUAAGUCGGUGGUGAAAUCCUGGAGCUCAACUCCAGAACUGCCUUCGAUACUGGGAAGCUCGAGUCCGGGAGAGGUGAGUGGAACUGCGAGUGUAGAGGUGAAAUUCGUAGAUAUUCGCAAGAACACCAGUGGCGAAGGCGACACACUGGCCCGUUACUGACGCUGAGGCGCGAAAGCGUGGGGAGCAAACAGG